rnacentral:rRNA from 1 species
UACAGAGGGUGCGAGCGUUGUUCGGAAUUACUGGGCGUAAAGCGCGCGCAGGCGGCCCUUUAAGUCCGUCGGUCAAAUGCCGGGGCUCAACCCCGAGCGUGCCGAGGAUACUGGAGGGCUGGAGACACGUAGAGGCAAGCGGAAUUCCGGGUGUAGCGGUGGAAUGCGUAGAGAUCCGGAAGAACACCGGAGGCGAAGGCGGCUCUCUGGACCAGCACUGACACUGAGGCACGAAAGCGUGGGGAGCAAACAGG